CCAGGCCCUAUGGGGCGCAGCAGGCGAGAAACCUUUGCAAUGUGCGAAAGCACGACAAGGUUAAUCCGAGUGUCUCCUGCUAAAGGAGUCUUUUGUCAGUUGUAGAAUCACUGGUGAAUAAGGGGUGGGCAAGUUCUGGUGUCAGCCGCCGCGGUAAAACCAGCACCUCGAGUGGUCAGGAGGUUUAUUGGGCCUAAAGCAUCCGUAGCCGGUUGCAUAAGUUUUCGGUUAAAUCUAUGCGCUUAACGUAUAGGCCGCCGAAAAUACUGUGCAGCUAGGGAGUGGGAGAGGUACACGGUACUCGAUAGGAAGGGGUAAAAUCCUUUGAUCUAUUGAAGACCACCUGUGGCGAAGGCGGUGUACCAGAACACGUUCGACGGUGAGGGAUGAAAGCUGGGGGAGCAAACCGGAUUAGAUACCCGGGUAGUCCCGGCUGUAAACGAUGCAGACUCGGUGAUGCAUUGGCUUGUGGCCAAUGCAGUGCCGCAGGGAAGCCGUUAAGUCUGCCGCCUGGGAAGUACGUACGCAAGUAUGAAACUUAAAGAAUUGGCGGGGGAGCACCACCAAGGGGUGAAGCCUGCGGUUCAAUUGGAUCA
rnacentral:rRNA from 1 species